GUAGUUGUAGCUCAGUGGUAAAGCACUUGCCUCACAUGUAUGAGGCCCUGGGUUCGAACCUCAGUAUCACA
rnacentral:tRNA from 1 species